GCCAGUGUGGUGUAGUGGUUUGAGUGUUGGACUAUGACUCUAGAGACCAGGGUGUGAUUCCCAGCUCGGCCA